UGUGAGGUUAAGCGACUAAGCGUACACGGUGGAUGCCCUGGCAGUCAGAGGCGAUGAAGGGCGUGCUAAUCUGCGAUAAGCGCCGGUAAGGUGAUAUGAACCGUUAUAACCGGCGAUACCCGAAUGGGGAAACCCAGUGUGACUCGUCACACUAUCAUUAACUGAAUCCAUAGGUUAAUGAGGCGAACCGGGGGAACUGAAACAUCUAAGUACCCCGAGGAAAAGAAAUCAACCGAGAUUCCCCCAGUAGCGGCGAGCGAACGGGGAGGAGCCCAGAGCCUGAAUCAGCAUGUGUGUUAGUGGAAGCGUCUGGAAAGGCGCGCGAUACAGGGUGACAGCCCCGUACACAAAAGCGCAUGUGCUGUGAGCUCGAUGAGUAGGGCGGGACACGUGGUAUCCUGUCUGAAUAUGGGGGGACCAUCCUCCAAGGCUAAAUACUCCUGACUGACCGAUAGUGAACCAGUACCGUGAGGGAAAGGCGAAAAGAACCCCGGCGAGGGGAGUGAAAAAGAACCUGAAACCGUGUACGUACAAGCAGUGGGAGCCCCACCACUAAGCCAGUGGUGAACUCCACAUACGCAUCCUUUGCUGAGGAUACGGUUAACGGAGCGAAAGCGACGUUCAACCGCAAAAGAAGCAGAGGGGGCUUAGUGGUGGGGUGACUGCGUACCUUUUGUAUAAUGGGUCAGCGACUUAUAUUCUGUAGCAAGGUUAACCGCAUAGGGGAGCCGGAGGGAAACCGAGUCUUAACCGGGCGUUAAGUUGCAGGGUAUAGACCCGAAACCCGGUGAUCUAGCCAUGGGCAGGUUGAAGGUUGGGUAACACUAACUGGAGGACCGAACCGACUAAUGUUGAAAAAUUAGCGGAUGACCUGUGGCUGGGGGUGAAAGGCCAAUCAAACCGGGAGAUAGCUGGUUCUCCCCGAAAGCUAUUUAGGUAGCGCCUCGUGAACUCAUCUCCGGGGGUAGAGCACUGUUUCGGCUAGGGGGCCAUCCCGGCUUACCAACCCGAUGCAAACUGCGAAUACCGGAGAAUGUUAUCACGGGAGACACACGGCGGGUGCUAACGUCCGUCGUGAAGAGGGAAACAACCCAGACCGCCAGCUAAGGUCCCAAAGUCAUGGUUAAGUGGGAAACGAUGUGGGAAGGCCCAGACAGCCAGGAUGUUGGCUUAGAAGCAGCCAUCAUUUAAAGAAAGCGUAAUAGCUCACUGGUCGAGUCGGCCUGCGCGGAAGAUGUAACGGGGCUAAACCAUGCACCGAAGCUGCGGCAGCGACACUGUGUGUUGUUGGGUAGGGGAGCGUUCUGUAAGCCUGUGAAGGUGUGUCGUGAGGCAUGCUGGAGGUAUCAGAAGUGCGAAUGCUGACAUAAGUAACGAUAAAGCGGGUGAAAAGCCCGCUCGCCGGAAGACCAAGGGUUCCUGUCCAACGUUAAUCGGGGCAGGGUGAGUCGACCCCUAAGGCGAGGCCGAAAGGCGUAGUCGAUGGGAAACGGGUUAAUAUUCCCGUACUUGGUGUUACUGCGAAGGGGGGACGGAGAAGGCUAUGUUGGCCGGGCGACGGUUGUCCCGGUUUAAGCGUGUAGGUGUGUGUUCCAGGUAAAUCCGGUUCACUUUAACACUGAGGCGUGACGACGAGGCACUACGGUGCUGAAGCAACAAAUGCCCUGCUUCCAGGAAAAGCCUCUAAGCAUCAGGUAACAUCAAAUCGUACCCCAAACCGACACAGGUGGUCAGGUAGAGAAUACCAAGGCGCUUGAGAGAACUCGGGUGAAGGAACUAGGCAAAAUGGUGCCGUAACUUCGGGAGAAGGCACGCUGACAUGUAGGUGAAGUGAUUUACUCAUGGAGCUGAAGUCAGUCGAAGAUACCAGCUGGCUGCAACUGUUUAUUAAAAACACAGCACUGUGCAAACACGAAAGUGGACGUAUACGGUGUGACGCCUGCCCGGUGCCGGAAGGUUAAUUGAUGGGGUCAGCGCAAGCGAAGCUCCUGAUCGAAGCCCCGGUAAACGGCGGCCGUAACUAUAACGGUCCUAAGGUAGCGAAAUUCCUUGUCGGGUAAGUUCCGACCUGCACGAAUGGCGUAAUGAUGGCCAGGCUGUCUCCACCCGAGACUCAGUGAAAUUGAACUCGCUGUGAAGAUGCAGUGUACCCGCGGCAAGACGGAAAGACCCCGUGAACCUUUACUAUAGCUUGACACUGAACAUUGAGCCUUGAUGUGUAGGAUAGGUGGGAGGCUUUGAAGUGUGGACGCCAGUCUGCAUGGAGCCGACCUUGAAAUACCACCCUUUAAUGUUUGAUGUUCUAACGUGGACCCGUGAUCCGGGUUGCGGACAGUGUCUGGUGGGUAGUUUGACUGGGGCGGUCUCCUCCUAAAGAGUAACGGAGGAGCACGAAGGUUGGCUAAUCCUGGUCGGACAUCAGGAGGUUAGUGCAAUGGCAUAAGCCAGCUUGACUGCGAGCGUGACGGCGCGAGCAGGUGCGAAAGCAGGUCAUAGUGAUCCGGUGGUUCUGAAUGGAAGGGCCAUCGCUCAACGGAUAAAAGGUACUCCGGGGAUAACAGGCUGAUACCGCCCAAGAGUUCAUAUCGACGGCGGUGUUUGGCACCUCGAUGUCGGCUCAUCACAUCCUGGGGCUGAAGUAGGUCCCAAGGGUAUGGCUGUUCGCCAUUUAAAGUGGUACGCGAGCUGGGUUUAGAACGUCGUGAGACAGUUCGGUCCCUAUCUGCCGUGGGCGCUGGAGAACUGAGGGGGGCUGCUCCUAGUACGAGAGGACCGGAGUGGACGCAUCACUGGUGUUCGGGUUGUCAUGCCAAUGGCACUGCCCGGUAGCUAAAUGCGGAAGAGAUAAGUGCUGAAAGCAUCUAAGCACGAAACUUGCCCCGAGAUGAGUUCUCCCUGAGACUUAGAGUCUCCUGAAGGAACGUUGAAGACGACGACGUUGAUAGGCCGGGUGUGUAAGCGCAGCGAUGCGUUGAGCUAACCGGUACUAAUGAACCGUGAGGCUUAACCUUACAACGCCGAAG
rnacentral:rRNA from 1 species